UACGAAGGGGGCUAGCGUUGCUCGGAAUCACUGGGCGUAAAGGGUGCGUAGGCGGGUCUUUAAGUCAGGGGUGAAAUCCUGGAGCUCAACUCCAGAACUGCCUUUGAUAACUGGAAGUAUCUGAGUUCGGGGAGAGGUGAGUGGAACUGCGAGUGUAGAGGUGAAAUUCGUAGAUAUUCGCAAGAACACCAGUGGCGAAGGCGGCUCACUGGCCCGAUCGUACGCUGAGUGCGAACGAAGGCGAGGGA
rnacentral:rRNA from 1 species